rnacentral:lncRNA from 1 species
UUCCUUUCAAAAAGAAAAAUUCAGAUCUUUAAUUAAAAUAUCUUAGCAGCAAAAUCAGGAACAAUAAGAAUAUUACCGAUGUAGAGGUGACAACUCAGAGAUUUAACUAAACAUCCAAAUAUAUCUGCCGAAUUACUGGUAAACUAACGACGGGUUUCCAUAUAUAUGGUCAUUAAAUUAAUUGAAUAAGGCAAAAAUGUGAGCAAAAUUUUUUCCGUUGCUACCAGUUGUAUUAACAGCACGUGCUCAGGUUCCGCAGGUUCAAGAAUCUGUUGUUAGCUGGCCUCAAAUGCCGCUGGAAUCCCUCCCAAAAAUGAAACGCCUUGUCCAGUCCGUUAUCACUAAUGCUCUUGUGCGCCAGCUCACUAGCUUGCUGAAGAAGGGUAGAAAAUAAAACGGAAAAACAAUGAUGUUAAGAGGAGCUCAGAGUUUGGAGCAAUUUGAGGAUUUGCAAACAGAGAAAGAUUGAUUACCUGGCAUAGACAGAAUACCAAAGCCAUUGACUACUGUGUCCAAUUGAAACCCAAUCACCAGGUAGUUGUGCUGCCGUUUGCUCACCUCCCAGUGGAGCGAAUUGCCCAAGAUGCCUAUACCUGGAAAAAAAAUUGACCAUAAAAUAUGUAUUUAUGGUUAAAUUUAAAUGGCAGGUGUCUUGAUCUGGCCUAGGCUUUGGGACUCCUUGAAUGCUCUAUGAGAAGAUAUUUCUAAUUUAAUUGAGCAUCAUUUUUUCCAUCUAUUAGGCUAUUAUUUUGUCACUUCAUGUGAAAUAGAUUUUAACUUAGAUGAACUUAUAUUUUAGUUUUUAGUUUUUACUUUUUAGGGACUUUUCAUCUUAAUUAGUAAAUGGUCAUUGAUUGGCUGAACAUAUGGAUAUGGGUUCAUGUGAUGAGAAUGACAGUUAACUAAUUCAAGUUCAGUAUUGUGCCUAAUUUUUCCUAAAUAACCAUACACACUGGCUUAGAACAAAUGUGUAGCUAUGAACACAAUGCGGGCCCAAACAGAACGAUAACGGCCCAAGGCUCAAGCAUGAGAUAAGAUUAAACGAGAUCUGUGUUGGGCCACCAAAGAAUAUGAGAUAAAGCGUACACCCUGAAGCAUUCAAAAUUCAGAUCUUUUCCUUUCAAAAAGAAAAAUUCAGAUCUUUAAUUAAAAUAUCUUAGCAGCAAAAUCAGGAACAAUAAGAAUAUUACCGAUGUAGAGGUGACAACUCAGAGAUUUAACUAAACAUCCAAAUAUAUCUGCCGAAUUACUGGUAAACUAACGACGGGUUUCCAUAUAUAUGGUCAUUAAAUUAAUUGAAUAAGGCAAAAAUGUGAGCAAAAUUUUUUCCGUUGCUACCAGUUGUAUUAACAGCACGUGCUCAGGUUCCGCAGGUUCAAGAAUCUGUUGUUAGCUGGCCUCAAAUGCCGCUGGAAUCCCUCCCAAAAAUGAAACGCCUUGUCCAGUCCGUUAUCACUAAUGCUCUUGUGCGCCAGCUCACUAGCUUGCUG